rnacentral:rRNA from 1 species
AUUGAACGCUGGCGGCAUGCUUUACACAUGCAAGUCGAACGGUAACAGGGUGCUUGCACCGCUGACGAGUGGCGAACGGGUGAGUAAUGCGUCGGAACGUGCCGAGUAGUGGGGGAUAACGCAUCGAAAGGUGUGCUAAUACCGCAUACGUACUGAGGUAGAAAGUGGGGGACCUUCGGGCCUCACGCUAUUCGAGCGGCCGACGUCUGAUUAGCUAGUUGGUGAGGUAAAGGCUCACCAAGGCGACGAUCAGUAGCGGGUCUGAGAGGAUGGUCCGCCAAACUGGGACGGAGACACGGCCCAGACUCCUACGGGAGGCAGCAGUGGGGAAUUUUGGACAAGGGGCGCAAGCCUGAUUCAGCCAUGCCGCGUGUCUGAAGAAGGCCUUCGGGUUGUAAAGGACUUUUGUCCGGGAGCAAAUACCCAGUGCUAAUAACGCUGGGGGCUGAGAGUACCGGAAGAAUAAGCACCGGCUAACUACGUGCCAGCCGCCGCGGUAACAC